GAAAUGCGAUAAGUAAUGUGAAUUGCAGAAUUCAGUGAACCAUCGAAUCUUUGAACGCACAUUGCGCCCGCUGGUAUUCCGGCGGGCAUGCCUGUUCGAGCGUCAUUGCAAAUGCUACUCAAGCCGCGGCUUGGCAAUUGGGCUGGGCUUUGCUCGGCUCUAAAACGAGUGUUUUCCAGGGGCAGAGGCAGGUGGAUGCAGACCCGGGCGCUGAAAGCGAUUCCCCCGCGGCGUUGCGGAGCCAGCUGCCUCCUAGCCCCUGCAUAAAGCCUAGAAUUGACCUCGAAUCAGGUAGGGAUACCCGCUGAACUUAAGC
rnacentral:misc_RNA from 1 species